AAGUCGUAACAAGGUUUCCGUAGGUGAACCUGCGGAAGGAUCAUUACCGAAGUACAGGCCCUCUCGUAGGGCUAAACUUCCACCCUCUGUGAACUACACUUUGUUGCUUUGGCGAGACGCCCUCGUGGCCACCGGCUCCGGCUGGUGCGCGCUCGCCAGAGAAAACCCAAACCCAAACCAUAUUUAGUGAUUUGUCUGAAAACAAGUUUAAUUAUUUAAAACUUUCAACAACGGAUCUCUUGGCUCUG
rnacentral:misc_RNA from 1 species